GAGAGAAUGACGUAACGGGACGCAAAAUACAGCUAUUGGUGAUAAACUUCCAAAGUCAUCUGAUCUCUGAAGUCAUAAAAAAAAGGAAUGAAAUCAAGAAACCAUAACUGAGUUCUCGUGAGAAUUCAUAUGUAUUUAACUACGGUGGUGGGUGUGCACAAGAUAGGCUUGAGAAAGGGAGGUAACACUCCUGAAACGUUGCCUGAUGGUCGGCGCUCAGUUAAGCUGAGCGCAUAACUUCCAGCCCGGAGGAGAUGCAUUGGAUUAAGGCAAAACAACAAGAGACCUCGGCGGAGGCAGAUGAUUCUAAUUAAAGCCUAAUCUAUGGACUGUUCGCUACAAGUCACUGGAGAAUAUAUUCAAUUGAAACUAUUUUCUUCAGUCCAUCCUUGCUGAUUCAGGAACUGAAGGAACAACAAAUAAAAUGACAUGACACAAGAAGACAACAUAGAAUUUAGAGAGCCAUGGAUACAAGAGAUUCCUUAUUGUAGGUGACGUGACACAUUUUCUCCACACUUUUGUAAUGUCGAGACACAUGAUCCAGCAAAGUGUCCUCAAGUUACCGGCAGAGGAUUUUGUGAUGUGGAAUCUCGAGCAGUUUGGGUCAUUGUGGUAUUAGAUAGGACUCUCGGGAUUGCCAAUACAGCUCAGUGGAAGCGAUGAUAAACAGAUGAGCAGACGUGAUGCUGUUUUUCCACCUUCUAAAACAACUUGUUUGCUUUCUUUUUUUCUUCUUAAAUCACAGCUACAAAAUGUUCCUUCUGUGGCGUCGUUCAAAGAAGAACUUAGAUCAAUUCAAUGUGCUCUUCCUGGGAGAUAAUGUACAAAACAAGACAAUGUGUUUCUUCAAAGAAACGAUUGUGUGGAAUGGUAUAAUGACAUUUAUUUGCAGUUGGUGUAUGAGAGAACCCAAACUGAAUAAUCCGGGUGACAGUCUAUGGCAGUGUCAUAAAGCUUUCAAUCAGUUUGCAGGAAUUCACGUUGCUGACCUGUGGCGCGGUAUUUCUGAUAAAUAAAUAAGGCGCUGCUACUUUAUUUCAUUGUGCAUCUAGGCCGCAGUCAUCUGGAAUGCCUUUACUGCAGUGAGCCUUUCCUUACCACAAAGAUUAUGCGCAAAUAAGAAAAAAUGACAAAUCCACUAAAUUCAAUUACAGCAGAAAAUAUUGUGCAAACAGAAUGGGGAAUAUCCAUCUAGUGGAGGCUACUGGAACUUCGGUAUUAUUACUGCAGGAUUCAAGAAAAUUACAUAGAGCUUCACAUUACAUUAUAUAUAUUAUUAUUAUAUAUAUUCUAACUGAAGACAGUGCUACAAUACUGUAAAACAUCUAACUUUUAGAAUUUAUUAUUUCAUUUUAUCAGUCUUUUGUUGGAUUAUUAGCCCAGGACCUACUGGCAUUGAAUGUACAAAGAAAUGCUGCAGCCUUUAUCAAGCAUGGUAAGCAUGGGGCUGCUAAAAUGUGGCACAUUGGGCCAUGCUGGAAUAAAAAGUUUGCAUUAUUUAUACACUUGAAAGAAUUCAAUCAUUCUGAUUAAGCUAGCAAUUGUGUAUCUGUAUACAAGAGUGUGAAGAAGUAUAAAAGUAAGAGGGACUUAAAA